ACCUGGCUGGCUUAGUCGGUAGAGCAUGUGACUCUUGAUCUUGGCCUUGUGAGUUCCAGCCUCACACUGGGUG
rnacentral:tRNA from 1 species